rnacentral:lncRNA from 1 species
GUCAGAUGAUUAGUUUGGCAUUGGAAUUUGAAAAACAUGCUACUAAUUCAUUCUUCCAGGUAAAAUGGUUGCAGCUAUUUAUUUUAUAUUUUUCUUUAACUCAACAAAUACGAGAUGCCUGGAUGAUCUUUGUCCUUGAUGUUUGCAUUGGGUUGGUUGGUUACCUAUUUCAUGAUCAACUCGACAUUGGUGGGAAGUAAUUCCAGUUGUUUCAUUAGCUACAACAAUUUGUCUUAUUUCAUGUUUGCAACAGUUUGUUGUGUGAACUUCCAGAAAUAAAGGGUAAUGUUAUGUGUAUAGUAAUUUAUUGUGCGAACCUCCAAAAAAAGGGCUUUUGUUUGUCUGCCCAUUUGUGUUUCUUUUAAAGUGUCCGAACUUCAAAAACGAAAGGCAUAAUGUUUACUCAUUUGUGUGCUUAUUGUUUAAUGUGUGGAUUCUUAUUAUCUUCAUUUUGAUGUUCUAUUUCUAUUACGGAUUCUUUACGUGGUUAACUUGUUAUUGUGCAUAUCGUACAAUAAUAUGGUUUCUACAUGAAUAUAUAUAAAUACAUGUGAAUGAGUAUAUAUAUAUAAAAAAUCAAUUUAUAAAUUUAUUGACAGAAUAUUAAAAAUUCCAAUAUAUAAGUAAAAGGAUAAAUCCUCUAGCUUUGAAAAGAAUUAGCGUUUGCCUUUGAGAUUGUAAAUUUUUUUUUAGCGUAUAUUCAAUUUAAUAUUUUUAAUAAUACAAAUGAAAAUAAACAGCAAAUUUAAUUUAUAAGUGUGACUAUCUCAAAACAUUGUUGAGAUGGAAGAAAGAUUAGUAGAAUAAAAAUAAAAUUAAUAGACUUUUAAAAAGCAAAGAGUUUUUAAUGUUAAAAAUAUUUUUUUUAUUUAAUAGACCCAAUUUUGUAUUUUUUUUAAAAGAUAACUCUAUUUUAAUUCUGAUUCUUUCGCAACACAAUUUUUCAUUCACCAUAACACACACACUUUUUUUUUUUUAAUAAUUAACAUGUCAUAUUAAUGAGGAGAGGUAUUUGAAUUGGGUGAGGCUGAUGAAGGAACUAAGUAGCUGUCGCUGCUGUCAUCUUUAACAGAGUUACGGCUGUACUAGUUACCUGAGCUCAAAUAUAUAUAGAAGGGGCCUACUAGAUAUGCUGAACUUGUGGUAUCUUGACAAACUGACAUUUAUCUUCCCUGUGUCUCCAAGUCUUCUGAACCUGGAACAGAUAACGAUUAAAUUUGCUGACAAUUUAAAGCAAAUAUUUUACAGUGGAGAAGGAGAUGUACUCACCAGAGAUGGCAUCAUCAACUUCCCUCAGCUAACAAAAUUGAUUCUUUCAAAUUGCAGCUUUUUUGGCCCAAAGAAUUUUGCUGCCCAAUUGCCUUCUUUGCAAGUGUUAACCAUUAAAGGCCAUGAAGAAUUGGGUAAUUUGUUGCCACAGCUACAAGUACGUCCUUUUUAUUUCUCCUCUGAUUUUCUCCUUUUGAAUUUAAAUUGUCAUAUUCAAUACAUUGUGAUAAUUUCUUAUUUCUUCCUUCAGAUUUCUAAAACUAAAGUAAUGGAUAAAUGCUAGCAAAUCCUUUAGCCAUCCACUGAAUUUAAAAGGAGUGAAAUUGAGGCUUUUCCGCCAAUUAAUAAAAAAUGGUUUUUUUAUCCGAUUUUCUAAACAAUUAGAGUCAAAAAGUAAAAAUUGAAACUUUCUUUUUAAAUACAAUAUUUUCUCAUUCAAAGAACUUCAAAAGCAACAAAUUUGUAAUUAAACAGACCCGAUAAAAGAAAUUCUACUUCAAUUUUUUGUCAAGAUAUGUCUAUCUUGAUAGAACAAAUGAAGGAUGUAUUUCUCCUCCUCCAAUACUCCAAUAGUAUAGGUUCAAGCCUCAUUCCCUAUGUAGAGGGGGGGACUGUUAAACUUGAUGAUUAGAGUAGUGUUUAGUUAUUAUUUUAGAAUAUAAAUUAAAGAUAAAGAUAGUGAAAAUGGAGAAGACAUGUUUUCAUAUAGUUUUUUUUUUUAAGAAUAUAAAAAUUCAUAAAAAAAAUUAUUCCAAAAACAGAUUUAUUUUAUGUAACAAUCUUCAUUUUCUUCAACAAAUAUAUUCUUGUCUCUUAUGUAUUUGUUUAUUCCAACUUAAAAUAUUAAUUAAAUAGUCUAAUUUUUUAAUUUGAUCUAUGAUUUAAAAAAAACAUUUUAUUAUCACAACAUAGAGUAAAAGUUUAAAAAAGAAACAUUCACGGGCCUACACAGCACAUGAGCUGAUUAAAUGACGACAAUUCCAUUAGCAAAUUUGUGCUACAAAUGACAAAAUAAAAACAAACUCAGCAAACAAGAUCAGUCCUAAUUAAUUUUGUCAAUUGUUGGCCUAUUCCAAACUAUCAAGUAUUGAACCUUUCCAAAUUAAUUGCUUUUUUUUUUUCAAUUUGUUUUGGUCUAAUUGCAUUGAUUGGUUGGUUGAUUGAAUGAAUGGUGCAGUCCCCAUUUUCAUUUACUUUUGGCAUUACACAAAAACAUCCCUUUCAAGUUACAAAACGACGUGCAGCUCAGUCAAUGCCUUCAUUGCCUACCGCCUUCAAAAAAUCAACUGCUUAGUUAGAUUCGUCCUUGGCUUGCUUAGAGCGACAACCACAUUAAAUGACAGCCACCGAAAUGUUUGACAUGUGGCCUAGAAUGUGAAUUAUGUGUUAACAAUUAGCUAAUUUUUUAAUUCUCUUAAUUUGAUUAAUUUAAUUAGUUACGGUGGCUGAGAGGUAGUAUCUAAUAAAUUUGUGCUACAAAUAACUUAAAAAAAAUAAACUCAGCAAUCAAGAUCAGUUCUAAUUAAUUUUUACACAAGUAUAUUGUCAACUGUUGGCCUAUUCCAAACUGAGAAAAUUAAGUUGGAAAAUAAAGGGAAUAUUUUUAAUCAAAUAGAAAAAGUAAUACCCAUAAAUUGAAAAAUAACUUAACUCAAAUUAUAAAAGUAAUACCCAAUAUAACUUAAAUUUAGCUUAUAGUACGUAUGCUUCUUAUUCUUACCCAUAAAAUUGGCAAUUUCCUGUACGGCAUAAGCUUCUUAUUAAUAAACACUAAUGAUCCAACAAUUGAACCAUGUAUAUAUGUUAUUAAAUGAAUUGAAGCUCCUUUUGAAAUUUGGACAUCAAAGAAUUCGGACCUAUACUUGCUAACUACAGUAGCAUGUUAACUCUAGUCCUUAAUGCUUUAAACUUUUUUUUUUCAACAAUUUCUUUGACACAAUAAAUUGUACUUUCAUUGAAAUUAGGCUCUUUAAAUUCAAAAUUACACCAUUAUAGAUAUUCACAUAAAAUGGCCCACUCAAUCACAGCUUUGUAAAAGCCUAACAAGUAGCUAGCAACUUAAUGGCUUAAUCGACAAAAGCUUUCAGUCGAGUAAAUAAGUUCGGUGUUUCAGUUAAGUUAGAAUUCAGUUACUUAAUUUUAGAAAAAGAAAAAACAACGAGUUUUUUCUUUAUAUUUUACUCUAUACUAAAAAAAAAUCAAUUUUUCACCAUGAAUUCGCAUAAUUAAAGACUGAUUUUAUCCUUUGAUUGAUAAAAUAGCAUGUCUUAGAUCUGGGGAUAUAAUGAUCUUUUUCAUAGAAAACAUUGGUCAUUGCUAAAAAGGAGACCAGGUGAUAUUUUUACAUUUUCUUUGUAUAAUGUGAUUAUUUAAUUACCUCUGGAAGACCAAAAAAAAAAUAAAUUACUUGGGUCUAGAGGCUUUUAGUCUUUGACUUGAUUUUUCAACAAGUUACUUAAGUGUCCAUGGAAAUUUAAAAUAAUUGUCUUUGACUCUGAGGCUUUUUGUCAUUUAGAUGUGGUCAUUUGAUAGUUAUUGGUGUCAUUAAAGGCAAGAAUAUAAUUUGGUAAAUAAAAAAUUAAAUUAAAAAGAAAAAUAGAAUCGGGAGCAGUGUUUGCCACCUAUGAACAACGUGUGUAGUAACAUUCGAUGGCCAAAACCAUGAUUCUAGGCGGCUUUCGAAGGAUCUCGAUGUCCCCACAAAUCAACGGUGCAUGUAGCACUAUAACGGCGGGUGUGACAUAUGUGGCCUUUUGUUUUUUUUUUUUCUUUUCUCCUUUCUCAUACUCAAUUUUCAUGUUGGAAUUAAAAAAUCAAAUCAGUCUCUAAAGUUUGUUCUACUUAUGAUUUCAUCCAUGUUCUCUUUAUUAUAAAAUCAUGUGGUUUUUUUCAAUUUCAUUAUUGUUCUCUUUGUUGCAUUUUUUUAUUUAGAAUAGUCUAUUAAAUUACUUUAGAUGGUUUUCACAACUGUUUUUUUUUUUUGCAAUUUCUUUAUUCUUUAGUUUUUUCCUAUCCAAUCUAAUCUUUUCUUUUAUUAUUGUAUUUUUCUUACCUUGCGAGAUAUUUUUUGAAUAAGUUUUUUUUAUUAUUUCAUUCUUCAACAUUUAAUUAGAUGAGUCUUUAGGGUUUUAGUUAAGUCUGAAUCUAGAAUUUAAUGGUUUGCAGGUUUAAGAGAUUGACCCCAGUUUCUUUGUUUUUUUUUUUUUCAUCCUCCAACAUUUUUUAUUUUUUAAUUCACUUUAUAUGAUAUUUUUUUUUACUUCCUCUUGAAAUUAAAAAUAUGAAAGGAAAAGAGAAGCAGGCAGUUGGGGAAAUUUCAUUAGGAAGGAAGGUAUUUUAUAUAUAUAGUUAAUGGAAUGUUUCAUAAAUAUACUACAAGGAUUAAAUAAUUAAUUUGAAUAAAUUACAGCGCUAAGUUAUAAUUAAAUCUUCAUUGACAUAUAGGAUUUUAUUAUUUGUUUUUUUUAAGGAGAAUAUGUACAUGCAACAAUCUUUACUGUUCCUUCAUUUAGGAAUAUAGAAUUCAAAUAUGGUUUUAAGAGUAUAUAUUUAUAGGGUACAAAUCUGUUUGUAUAAGCAAUAUUUUCAUAAAUUUAUCAAUUCUGCAGCUGGAAAAAAGAAAUAGACUCAAUAUUCCACAUGAGAAAACCGAUAAAAUGAAAGAAAAAGAGAAUUCUUUCUUUAUCCAAAAAAUGCAUAACACAAUUUUAGUUACAGCACUACAACUCAACUGUUAUAUUAUCUUAAUUAACAAAAAAAUCCAUCAUAUAAUAAGCCAAAAAAAGUCCAUUCAUAAGCUGGAGUUCUGAAGGAGGGCCAGCAAUCUCUCCGGCCUGUUUCAACGUUUCUUCCUUUUCUAUUUCUGCUUGUUUAUUUCUGGUCCCCCUCUAUUCGUGACUCUCUUUUUUUCCCCCUUUCGUUUUUGUGAUCCCCCCUCCUGCGCUCUCUCAUCAUCUCUGGCUUUAUAGCCAGAGAAUACCAACCAUUUGAAACGGCUUCAAAGCCAUUACUGCCAGAAACGGCUCCUGAGGAAGAAGGCGAAGAAGGCGAUGAAUAGCUUUCAAAAACGGUGCCGUUUGUGUGAUGGGAAUGACCAUUUUCAAUCCGGUCACUGAAGUUCUGAAAUCAUGUAAUCAAGUCCCUGGGUAAAUUGUAAUUAGACCCCUUAAUUUCGGGGAAAUUUUCAUGCUGGCCCUUGGAUUUUAAUGUUUUCAAUCUGGACCCCAAUUAAACUCCAAACUUUGAUACUUUUUCAAUUAAGUCCCUGAUUUCAUUAAUUUAAUUAAAUCUAAAGUCUAAUUAAGUCUAAAACUUAUCAAUUCUCUAAUUAAACCCUUAAUUGGAUUAAUUAAAUUAAUUCCAAGCUCAAUUAAGUCUCAAAACUUAUCAAUUUUCCAAUUAAACCCUUAAUUGGAUUAAUUAAAUUAAUUCCAAGCUUAAUUAAGUCUCAAAACUUAUCAAUUCUCCAAUUAAACCUUUAAUUGGAUUAAUUAAAUCAAUUCCAAGCUUAAUUAGAUUAAUUUCAAAGUUUAAUUAAACCCCAAAACUUCCAAUCAUAUUGCCCUUUACCCAAAUUUUAAUUCAUUCUUCAUUUUUUCAUUUUACUUGUUUUUUCAUCAUUAUUAUUUUCAUCAAUUUUUUUUAUCAUUUUCAAUAAAUAAAUAAUAAUAAAAAUAAAAUAAAAUGGUCAAAAAUUGGGUUAUGACAUUAUGAGUUAAAAAUAAAAUGAAAAAAGAACUUUUGGGUAUAAAAUACCCUUAACCUAAUCCGGUCAUUAAAUUUUGAGCAAGCAAAUGACACGUCAUUUUCUAAGGCUCAUUCUCCAUGUCUAUUUUUUUAAUAAAAAAUAAAUAAUAUAUCAUCCACCCUUUAAUACGAGAAAUUAAGAGAGUUUACCUUCUUUUUCUACAGAAACUUCAACUCAGCUACAGUUCAAGGAUUUCUAUACAGGGGCAUCAAGUUUUAAAAAGAAAGGCAAAGAAAAACUAGCCCGGCCACCAUAUCAAAAGAUGAGCUUACUUUCUCUUUUUUCGCUGUCUCUCACUUGUCCCCGUUUUCUCUUUUAAAAACUCUAAUUAAUAUUAAAUUAACAAGAAAAUACUAAAUAAAAAGGGGUUUUUAUUAUAACCUCUCCUCACAAAAUACUAUUUAUUGGAUUAAUAUUUUUUUUAUUAAUGCUUUUUUAUAAAAAAAAAUAUUUAUUUUUUAAUAUUAAAUUUGUUUUUUAUUGAGUUAUCUCACUCUCAUUGCAAGGAUCACAGGUUUAGUAGGUUUUUUUUUUCUUAAGUAACUUUUUCUUCUUAGUCUCAUCAUUUAAUACUGAGUAUAUUGAUAAUUAGGCUUCAUGAUUAUUUUAUUUGCAUUCUAUUGGGUUAUUUCAACCUCAUAAUACAUGAAUAGUUCUUAAUAAGUUAACCCAAGUUAACUCAGCUUGUUUUUUGUGUCUUUUUUUAAUUGAGUUUUUUUACAAUUUUAUCAUUCAACAUUGGAUCGGUUGAGACUUAAGCUUCAUAAUUUAUUUUAAUUAUACAUUUUACAAGGAUAUCUUAGUUUCAUUAUCAAGGUUGUGGGUUUUGACAUUUUAAAUUGAUUUUUUUUAUAUUUUUUUUUCUAAAAAAUUAUAUCGGUUUCAUGAAUUGAGUCAUGGGUCCUCAACAUUGGAUUUACAUUUUAUUAGUUUAUCUUUGUUUUCGUGACUUGGGUAACGGGUUUGGCCGGUUAACCAAGCUGACUUUUUUUUUUUUUUUUUUUGGCUUUUUCCCCAAUCUCAUUAUUUAAUAUUCUAUUGAUUUAAAAUUAGACUCAUAAUUUGUUUUAGUUUGUUUUUUUAAUAAAAUUAGAUGUUUUUUCCAAUUUCAACCUCCUUUAAUUUUUUUAUAUGUCAAAUUCAAUCACCUUUCUUUUGAUUUCUAUUUAUUUUAUUUGAAAUAAUUUUUAAAAUUAUUUUUUUAUUUCAUCCUCUGGUUUUUUUUUCCUAUUAGGUUUAAUCCUCAUUCUUUUGAUUGCUUUUAAAAAAAAAAUUAAAUGUUUUUUUUUUGUUUGCUUCAUCCUUUAACAUUAAGUGGGUGUUUGGUUUUGUGGUUGCGGGUGAGGUUCACCCGCAACCACACAAAUUUUCCGUUUGGUAACAAAACAAAAACUGCUUUUUACUAGUAGGGCCCACUGAAUUUUAAAUUGAAACCGAGGUUUUGGAGAAGCAGCAAAAUGCUGCUUCUCCUGAAGGAAAAACGCUGAACAGUGGAGCAUGGCUCCACUGUUCCCUAAACUUUUAAUCAUAGUUGGUUUUUUUUUCUUCAAAAAACCAAGAAAAGUAAAACUGUACAGUGCGAGUGAUUUUAAUUCACUCGCACUGUUCAGGGUUUUAGUUUUUUUUUUUUUUUGGAAAAACAAAGAAAAGUUUUUUUUUUUCUGAAAAAUCAGUGCAAUUAAAAAAAAUUAGUGAUUUCACUCGCACUAUUCAUGUAAACGUGAACACUAUUUUUUUUUAAAAAAACAAUUAGUUUAAGGUGAAUUAAAUUUACUUAUACUGUAAUCUCAAUUUUAUUCCUCAUAUAUAUUUACUUAAUUUUAUUGCAUGCUCAAAAAUCAUGAAAAUUGUAGUUUUUGUCGAAUAAAUUUUGUACGUAAUGAAAUUGUAAUUUUUUUUUUUAUAAAAAUUGAGUUUUAGUUGAAAAACUAGUAAUUAAUAUUAUAUUUAACACUACAUGAAUUAGAAGGAUAUAGCAUGAUGACGUACCAUUUUAUGAAAUUUGAUCGCAAUUCUAAUUAUGUUAUUGUCGGGUCCGGCCCAGUUAAAAAAAAUUCAAUUUUUAUUUUAUUUUAGUUAUGUUCUAUUUAAAAAAUUAAAAGAAUAUCGCUUGAUGACGUAACAAAAGAUUCAGUUUUGUUGUUGCGCGCUUAAGAAACCAUGAAAAAUAUAGUCCUUGUUGGAUAGAUUUCACAUGUGAUGACAUUGCACAUAGUGUAAUGGAAUAAUAAAAAUAUUUGAUAUCAAUAUUAUUUAUUUCAUGAUGUAAUAAUAGUUUAAAUUUACAAUAUUUAAAUUAAAAAUCAUUAAUAUAAAUAUAUAUAUAUAUAUUUUUAAUUAUUUUAUAACCUCAAUUUGAAAAGCAUUUUUAUUAACCAAACACAUUAAACUACUUUUUCUUCAACCUCAAUUUUAACCACAGUUUUAACCAAACACCUAUUUUUUCAAACCAAUCUCAACUAAAAGUACUUUUUAUAAAACAACUUUUUAAAACCACAACCACAAAAGCUACCGCAAUACCAAACACACUCUAAAUUGGUUGGGAAUAGAGCUUUUUGAUUGAGCCAAGGUCUAGAAUUUCACGAGUUACGAGUUUGAAAGAUUAACAUAGGUUUCGGAUAUUUGCUCAAGUUUGCUUGGUUUUCUCCCCCGUUUUAAGCUUUUAGUUUUUUAGUUUCAUCCUUCAACAUUUAUUUAAUUUAAUAUUGGGCUCUAGUGUUUUUAUUUUCUUUCUAUUGGAUUUCUCAUUGAUUUUAAAAAUGAUAUAGGUUAUAUUACUCUUCAACAUUAGGUUGUUUGAUAAUUAAGUUUCAUAGUUUUAUUCAAUUUGCUUUUAAUGAGGUUGCCCAAUAUCACAACCAGGUCACGAAUUUUGUAUGCUGGCCCAAUGGAAUCGAGUCGGGUUUUUUUUCAAAACUUUUUUGAGAUUAUAUAUUGUCUUCAAAUUUGUCCUUCAAUAUUUUGUUUAUUAGAAAUUGAGCUUCGAAUGUUUUCAAGUUUUUAUUUAAAUUUUUCUUCAUUAUCAAAUAAGAUCCUUCAACAUUUGAUUUUUUUAUUUCAUAUUUCAAUAUUUGAUUGAUACUUCAAUCUUAUACCUAUAAUCAUGGGGUAAUAGAUUAACCUGGUUUAACUCAGGUUGUUUUUUUUUUUUGCUUCGCCCUUUGAUAUUAGGUUAUUUGAUAAUUGAGUUUCAUGAUUUUAUUUAAAUUUUUUUCAACGGGGUUACCCCGAUGUCAUGACCAAGUCGCAUAUUUUGCAUGCUAACAUGGAUGGGCUCAAUUUUAUUUUUUUACCUUUUUUCAAUGUCAUUUUUUCUUUAAUUUUUUUAUAGUCGUGGUAUUUGUCAUUUGUGUUUUUCAAUUAGCCGAUCUUAUUAAACAUAAUUGAGUCAAUGACCUGAGUCUUUUUUUUUUUUUUUAUGAACACUUGCAUUGCCUUAGCAUCCUUUCUUUAUGUUGAAAAAAAUUGGGUCUACCUACGGUAUAGCGCGAGCCACCUAUCUAGUGUUACACUACUUUUUAUGGAGUUUUGAAGAAAAAACAACUAGUGGGUCAAGUAUUUCUAACCAAGACAUAACAUAAACAAAAUAAAUUAAUAACCUGUGAGGUGAUUUUAUGAUAGCACCAUUCACUAUGAAGCCUCUCACAUUUCAUUAUGAACUGGAGUAGUGAUUUUUUUUUCUUUUAAUUUUUUCUUCUUAAUUUUAUCAUUUUGUGGUCAAAUUGAUGGCCAAUUGCUUUGGGUUUGUUAUGAAAGGGUAAGAUUAAAAAGAUUGGAGACCAAAGAGAAAAGGGCAGAAAAAAUAGGUGGCAGAUUCAAAAUUAGCGAGAGAAGUUCACUUUGUUUGAAUUAUAAUUUUUUGGUCCUUUUAGUUUUUGGAAAUUUAUUUUUUUAUUGAAAAUUUUAAUUUUUUUAUUUUCAAUCAUUGGUUUGAGAGAUGAGAGAGAAGGUUGUUGGAUUCUAGUUGAAGAAAGAGAAAGUCAUUAGUUGACAUCGACCCUAGCCAUGUAAAAGGUCGAUUUUGGUGUUAGUAAGAUUCAUUCGACAAUGAGAGUUUUACUUAGGUGUUCUUUGUCUUCCUCAAAAGCAAAAAAGGUUAAUUCAAAUUGCUCUGGGUUUUUUGAUUAAUUAUUGGGUUAUUUGAGGCCAUAAAUGAAUUUAUCAAAGUCUAUAGGAUGUUUUGUAGGUGUUAUGGGUUAAAAAUAAAAUGAAAAAAGAAUUUUUGGUUAUAAAAUUCCCAUGACCUAAUCCUAUCAUUAAAUCUUGAACAAAACUGGGCAUAUUUAAAAAAAAAACAAUUGUUGAAAAAGUAUCAAAAAUUCAAAAAAUAAAUAUAAAUCAAAAUUAUGAUUUGGGAUGAAAUCAAACAUAUAAUAAAAUUUUAAAAGCAAGAAGUGGUCUAAAAUAUGUAUAAUCAGGCCAAUUAUAAUUUUGAGGACCAAUUAGGAAUUUAAUUGAAAAUAAAAUUAAAGAAAAAGGUUGAAUUUAGCCAAAUUUGCUUCAGAGAGAGGUUGGAGAGAGAAAUCAUGUUUGAGAGAAAGAAACGAGGAUUGUAAGAAAAUUAUGUAGACUUACAUUUAUUAUAUACUAAGGGAAAAAAAUAUCUUUUAAUCUAAUUUGCUUUUUCCUGUUAAACACGGAGGCAAAUCAUAAUUUUCCGAACCUUAGAUUGAAAAAAAAGAGAGACCAAAAUCAUAUGAGAAUUUUUUUUAAUUAUACCUAAAAUUUAUUAAGGAAAGAAAACAAAUUCAACAAUAGAGUACAAAGUAUAAAAUAAGAAGAAAUCCAAUAAUCAAUCUUAAAUUUGUUAGAAAAUGUUAUGUUUAGUUCACAUUUUUUUUAAUUCUACAGUUCCUUUAGUUUUUGCAAUUUUAAUUUUAGUUUAAAAUUUUAUUUUCUUAACAUUUUUAAUCCUUGAAUUUAAAAAAUAAAAAAAAAAGUCGUUUGAAAAUAAUAAAAGAGCGAUGAAGUUGGUGAAUGAGUGCUUUUCAGAGACAAAACUCAUUUCUUGGUAUCAACAAGUUUUAUCAUAUGAGAGAAGCUUGAUAGUGGUAGUUUCUUUCUAUAAACAUGCCUGAAAAAUAUAUUGAGUUCCAUUUAGAUUUUCUUAUUUGGUUUAUUUUUACUUUUUGAAUUAUUUUGGGAUUUUGUUUUUGGUACAUAGAGGUUUUUAUGGUGUUUUUAGAUGCAAAUGGGUUGAAAAAUAGAUUCUUAGGCUUGACUUUUUGACUUUUUUUUUUAUCCAUUUCCAUUAAAUGUUUCUAUUAAAUUAGCUCUGUUUUUUAAAAAAGUUUUUUAAAUAGUGAUUGAUUUUUUAUAUGUUUUUAAUUGCAUGAUAUUUCAAAGAAAUUAGUUUGAUUUGUCCUUAACAAGAUUAAAAUAAAAAGAACAAUCAAUAUAAAAUAUUUGCAUGUGUAUCUAUAUUUUAUUUCUACUAUGAAGAUUAACUUCAUGUUUUAAUAUUAAAUUAGUGAUAGCAACUCCUUUUGAUUUAUUAGUUCAUAUAUAUUUUAAUUUUUUUUAUAAAAUAUAAAUAGAUCUUUUCAUAUCUCAAUUAAAAAAAUAUAAAGUAAUGACUUCAUAAUUUAUUUUGAUGUGUUUUUCAUAAAGUUAUUAUGAUCUCAAACAAACAUCCCUGUAAUGGGUUGAGGCUUGUUUUUUAGCAUUAAUUUUUUAAUUAUAUAAUUAAAUAAAAAUAGUUUUUUUAAAAAUAUAUUAUUAAACCUAGUGAAGUUCAUGAUUCUUAUAGCGAGUUUGACAUGUUAAUCCAUAUUGACAUAAGUUGAUCCAAUAUGUCGUUAUCUUAAUAUUUUAAAAUGAAAGUUUCAUAUCGAAUUUUUUUUUUUAGUCAAAUCAUAUUUUCACUGGACUUCUAAAUUGCUUUUAGACAAACCAAGUCUAUUGGGUUAUAUUGAGACAACUCCUAGACAAUUUGAUUUGAAGUUCAAGCUAGAUAAAAAAUCAAGUUAUGAUAUUUCAAGGUUAACCUGUUAGAGUGGGUUUAAUAACAUUAUCAAUGAGUUCCUCUAACUAAUCAUUAUUUUUUUACAUUAAAUUAUUUUUUAUUCGACCAAUAAAAUAACAAGAGCCAAUUAUCUAAUUAUAUUUCUAUUAGUUGAAGGACAACACUUUUCUAUGAAAAAAGUUAAUAGAAAAUUUAUGUUGAAAGGCAAAACAAGAAUUCUGUGUGUUUGGUUGCAAAUAAACAAACUUUAUUUGCAGGUCUUUGAGAUCUCAAAAGUCCAUAAUUCACAUUUAUCAUUGUUGAAAGAGACAAUAUUAAAAUUAUUGUUUUAGUGUUAUCAUCAUUUAUUUUUUUAUCAAUUUUAUCAUUAAACUUUCAUAAAUUUUUAAUGAAGGACUUUCGUCUAAUUAUGGCUUUCCAUCCAUAUUUUCAUUCAAACUUUUUUUUUUGGUUAUAUAAUAUUAAUUUGUAAAAACUUAAUUUUUUUAGGUAAUUGUAAUAGAAAUCCUUAAUUGAAAAUCCAAAAUAGUUUAGUAAUAAAAUUAAUUUUAAAAAUAAAUUGGAUGCAAAUGAUAACACUCAUGUAGUUUAAUAUUUAAAAACAAUUAUCAUCUUAAAAUUUUAUUAAAAUUAAAUGAUAUUUUUACUUGUAUUUUAAUCUAUUUUUUAUUAUUAAAAUCACAUGCAAAGUUUGUAAAACAAUAUUAUUGUCCUCGUGAAAAUGACAGGGAAUUGACCUCUUCUCACCAUUUUCCCUUGCUUUCGUCAGGACCGCUGAAAUAAGGUAAAGGUUUUUUAGCUCUAUUUUCUAUCUCGUACUAAGAGGAACAGGAGAAUGGUUAGAUUGAGUAUCUGUUAGAAUUGUACUCUCGAAAAAUUAAUGUUGCAUUUGUUUCUUGAAAACUAGUUUAUGAGAUUUAUUUUUCAAGUUUUUUUUAUUUAUUUGUUAAUUAGAAAAAUUAAUUAAUGAAAAAUACUUUCCGGUUAAUAGAAAAUAUUUUUUGGUUAAUAAAAACACUUUCCAGUCUAAGAAAAUUUGGCUUGGUAAUAUUCAGAAAGUGUUUUCUUUUUAUUUUGGGUGGAAAUAAUUUUUUAAAGUUGUGAAAAAUUUAAAAUGUCAUAUUAUUUACUGAUUAUAUCAAAUUUGUCCUCAAACUUUUAAUUGCUAUAUAUAUAUAUUGUAUUAUUUAUUUUUAAUUUCAUCCUAUAGAAUUUAAUUUUUAUAUUAAUUUUGGUCCUUAUUUUUAUAAUUAUUGUUUGUUUUCCCUUAUAUUUUUUUAAUUUGAAAUUUUUUAUCUAUCAAAUUUGGUCUCUCAUUCUUUUGAUUGUUACUUAUUUUAUUUGAAAUAAUUUAUGAAAUGUUAAGUAUUUACUUAUUAUUUUUGAUUUCUUCAUCUUUUAAUUUUUUUAUUUUUUAGAUUUGAUCUCUAUUAUUUUGAUUAUUAUUUGUUUUAUUUGAGAUAAUUUAUGAAAUUAUAUAUAUAUAUAUAUAUAUUUUUAAUUUCAUUCUCAUUCAACUUUUUUAUUUGUAAGAUUUAUUCCUCAUUAUUUUAAUAAAUUUGAAAAAAAUGAAACAUUAAUUAUUUAUUUUUUAGCUCAUUUUCCAUGACAUACCAAAUACUGAAAAGUAUUUUUCAACUUAUUUUUCAUUACACUACCAAACAUCGAAAAAUAAAUUUAUUUUCCUACAAUUCAUUUUUAAAAAAAAAAAUUAUUUUUCAGUAAAUAAACUGUUUCAAGUGACAAUUUCCUUUCCUCCUCGAAAAUUUCACUUCGAUUUGUACUUUAUGUUUGUUUCUUCUGCCGUUUUCACUUGAAACCGAGUACAGAUUCCCUUUGACGAUACCCUGGCAAUUUUCUUUUUUCAUUAAAAAAAAAUACUAUAUCUUAUUGUAAGCGCAUCCUCUCUUUUCCUGCUCCUCGAGAAACCAAAAUAAAUAGCAAAACGUUGUUGACAAUAUUUCAAGCAGUUAAAGAUCGUGUAUUUUUAUAUUUUAAAAGUUUUAUUUUUUAUGUUUUUAAAUUUUUUAAUGUAUGAUAUAUAAAAAAAUAACAAGUAUUUAAAAUAAUGAUUAUUAUAAUACCAAACGAGCUCUUAGAUAAAGUUUUUAAUUACUAUCCCGAAACCGAAAAGACAAAGAUAAUGAUGUGGGACAGAGAAGAUAAGACAAAAAAUGAGAUUAAGACACAAUUAUAUUUGAUAGUGAUGAACAAGAUAAAGUGAUUGUCUUGUAUCAUAUUUGGUUGCUAUGGACAAAGAAAUAUAAAAUAUAAAAAAUUCUAUUUUACUCUUAAUAUAUAUUGUUACCACUUACAUUACAUAUUUAAAAAUAAUAACAUGAAAUUUUAUAUUUUACUUCAGUUUUAUAUCGAGUGAAAUUGAAAUAAUAAUAUUAAUAUAUUAUAGUUAUAAAACUAGAACUGAUUUGACGGGUUGAUUUGGAGUUUGAAUUGGUUCGAGUUUAAAAAAAAUCAAGGAAGGAUUGACUCGAUCUAGCCCAAUCGAAAACCCAAGUUAACUCGGGAUAAUAAGAGUAUAAAAAACCAAUUAAUUUUUAGUAAAAAAAUUAAACAUUUUGAGUUAGCCGAGUUGCCUACCCAUGACAUAAAUCUUGCACUAGGUUGACAUAAACCAUGUAUGAUUUUAUGGCAGAAUAAGGUGUAUGGAAAUAGACUCUUCCUAGUUAAUUUUUAUAUUUCAAUCAAAUCUAUUUUAGGGUUUGAACAUGAACCAUCUGAAGAGGUUUUUUUUUCUUGUCUAUUAUUGCUUUAAUAAAGAUAACAAAAAAGAAAAGAAAAGAAAAGGAUAAAAGUAAAACCAGAGAAAGAUUAAGAAUGCCAAAAGAGUGUGGGAUUGAUAUUGUAAUAUAAGAUGUUUUUUAAAAUUAUUUUUUUGUUUAAAAAUAAUUUUUUAAAAUUUUUAUAUCAACAUAUUAAAAUCAUAAAAAAAAACACUAAUUUGAUAUAUAUUUUUUAAAAUAUAUAUUCGAACAAAACUCACCCAAACCCAAUUAAAAAAAAAACAGAAAACAAAACGUUGCCAAGUGGAAUUAACUGGGGAGAGUCUAUUAAAUCAAGAGCAAAACAACACCCUAUUAAAUCAAAUUAAAAAAAAACAAUUUGAAGCAUCAAAGGGUGAAAUUUUAAAAAUGGAAGGACUGAAAUAAAAUAAAACCACAAAAGAGGGUGAAAAAGAGAAACAGCAGUUGGAUGCCACCAAUAGCCUUUGGUCUUAUUACAUUAGUGUGUGAUGCAGAGAUAGUCAUUGCAGAUUUUAGGUGCCUAAGUUUGAUCCUUUGUUGAGGUUCAUGCAAGUCUUUUUUUCUCCUUAUUCGUAUAGCUUUAGAUUAAUUUUAUGUGUUAUUGGAAGCGAUGAGGAGCUAGUAUCUUUCGUGCAGGUGUCAAAGUGAUCAUCAUCAGCCUUCCAUUCCUUUCUCUCUUUAGGGUCUAUUGGAUAUCUCUUUUAAGUGUCAAAAUAUCAAAGUGAUGUCACAUAUAGAAUCAAAGUAGUAUAAGGUGGAACAAAAAAUUAGGGCAAUAGUAGAAUUAAAUUUUUUAAAAAAUAUAAAUUUUAAGAGAUUUAUAUGAAGAUUUUUUAUCUGUCUAAGAAACCUCACAUAGAAAACAUCUUCAGCACUUGGUUUAAAAGGUUCGAAAAAAUUUAUUUUUUUCCUCCGUUUUUGUUAAUUUUCCAGCAAACAUGAGCUACACUCCUAUACUUGGUUUAAAAGGGGUACACACAAUCUUCAGCAUGUGAGGUUUAAAAAUGAGUAAGAAUAGUUUUUAUUUUUUUUUGUCUUUGUUGAAUUUAGUUUUUAUGAAGGAAUUUUAUUUUUAAAUUGAAGUAAAUUGAUUAAUUUUAUUUUCAACAUUUAAUUUUUUAGGUGUUGAGAUCUUGCGUUGAGCCCGGGUCAAGAAUUUAAUGGAUUGCGAGUUUGAGAGUUUAACCCAAGUUUAUAGGGUUCACUCAGGCUUCUUUGGUGUUUUGUUUCUUUUUUUAAGCUCUUUUCUUUUUUUAUAUUUCAGCCUUUAACAUUCUUUUUUACUCCCUUUCUAUAAGAUUUAUUUUUAAAAAAAAAAAAAAUAACAAGGAUUCCCUAAAAGGUUUUUUUUUUUUAUUUUUUUUUUGCUUCUUUAAAAGGAAUGUUUUUUAAUUAAAUUAAUUUUUUUGAUUUCAUCCUCUUUCAUUUUAUUUGAGGCAAUACAUGAGAGAAUUUUGUUUUUUUAAUUAAGUUUUUUGAAAAUUGGUAUUCUUUUUUAUUUCUAUGUUUUUUUUUUCUAUAAAGUUAUCUUGAUAUUAUGUCUCAAGUAAUGGAUUCAACAGAUUUACCAAGUUUGCCUCAGGUUAUUAUUUCAUUUUUUUUUUAUCUCAAGUUAAUGAUCAAAAUCUUAAAUUUUUUUUAAAAUUGCAUCGUCAAUAGUGUUUUUACUUUUUUUUUUUUUUCUAAAUCUACAUUUCUUUCUCUAAUUUCAUACUUCAACAUUUAGUUUAUUGAAGACUGAGUUUAAUAAUUUAUUUUGGUUUAUUUUAUAUAUGGUUAGCUCAGUCUUUUUACAAUAAGUAAUAUACUAAAAGGCGUGGGGAAACUACUGUAGCUUUCCCACGCCUUUUACUUAUUUAAGCUUUUUUUUUUUUUUCAGUUUCUUUUUUUUUCUUUCUUCUUUUGGGAUUUUUUUUUGUUUUUGGUUUUUUUUUUCUGUAUCAGUUUUUCCUUUUGCUUUUGUUUUUGUUUUUUCUUAAUGUUUUUUCACUUUAGCAGUUUUUUUUUUUAACGUAUGGGUUUUCACUGUAGCAACUUUGUUUUUUUUUUUUUCCCUCGCUUUUGUUUCUUCUAUUUUUUACAUAUAAUGUAUCACUGUGCACACAGCGAAACACUUGAUUUUGUUUUCUUUUUUUUUUGUUUUGCCAAUUGGUUUUUUUUUUUUUGCUUUUUUCUUUGUGUUAUUUUUCUUUUAAUGAUUUUUUUUAAUUUAGUUUGUUAAUGUGAAAAAAAAAAAUUAAUUUAGUUAUCAUACUUUCAUUACACGGAUCUCGGUUUUUUAUAUAUAUUAAGCUGGUUGAGAACUUAGCUUUAUAGCUUUUUUAAAAAAGAAAAAAAAACAUUAUGGAUUACUACAGUGUUUCCCUUGCAUGAUUUUUGUUUGGCUGCAGUGUUUCCCCCACAUGUUUAUUUUUUAAAUUAUCUUUGUUAAAUUUAUUUUUUUAAUAUUGAGUUGGUUGAGAAUUUAGCUUUAGCUUUCCCCACGUUUUUUCAUUAUAAUAAUUAUUAUAUUGUAUUAUAUUAUAUGACUGUUUUUUUCUUUUGUUUUUUCUUUUUAAUUUUUUUUAAUGAAUUUUUUUUGUUUGAUUUAGUUUGUUAAUGUGAAAAUUUUUUUUAUUUAGUUUUCAUAUUUUCAUGAUACGAAUCUCGGGUUUGAUGGGUUAACCUGAUUUGACGAGUUAUUUUUUUCAUUUAGUUUAGUUUGUUAAAGUUAAUUUUCUUUCUAUUUAAUUAUCAGACUUUCAUGACACAUAUCCUGGGUUUGACGGGUUAACCUGAUUUGAUGGCUUGACACAUAUCUUUCUAUUUAUUUUUUUUCUUUGUUUUUUUUAAUUAAUCUAUUUAAUUAUCACACUUUUAUGACACGACCUUAUAGCCCGACCCACAUCCAAUAUUAUUGGGUCCGGUGUUACAGUCAUGCUCACUUAAACUUGGGUCAUGCAAGUUUAAUUUUAUUAUUAAUAUUAUAAAUAUUACUCUUAGGUCAGGUGUUGCAGUCAAACCCAAGAUUUUUGGGUAUAACUUUGCAGAAAAACCCAAGAUUUUUAAAAUUUUAUUUUUUUUAAUAUUUUUUAUACAAAAAAAAUGACUCGCGACAUCGCGCGGGUAUCAAAGCUAGUUAUAAACUAAAAGAGGUGGUAAAUUUACUAUUUACCGCCUCAUAAAACACUAUUCAUUUCAAUAAUUUUUUUUUAUUUUGUUUUUUGUUUUCUAAAUCUAUAUUUUUUCCCCUAAUUUCAUAUUUCAACAUUUAGUUUAUUGGAGUCAGAUUAAUAAUUUAUCAUAGUUUGCUUAUAUAUGGUUAGCUAAGCCUAAUAACUCGUAUUAUGGGUUUGACGAGUUAGAUCAAUUUUUUUUUGUCUUUUUAUAAUUGGUAUUUUUUAAUUUUAUCAUUCAAAAUUGGGUUGAUUAUGAAUUAUGCUUCAUGAUUUAUUUUAGUUUGCUUUUUAUGAGGUUAUUCUGAUUUUAUAACUUAUGUCGCGUGUGUUGCGAGUUAAGUCGUGUAGACUCAGGUCUUUUAUUGUAUAAUAUUUUUAUAUUAAUUUUUUUUUUCAAUUUUAACCUUUAACAAUAAAGUUUAUUGAAAAUUGAGAUUUAUAAUUUGUUUUGAUUUACGUUCUAUAAGAUUAUCACAAUUUCAUAAUCUUGAUUGCGGGUUUUGGAAGUUAAUCUUGGUUGAGACUCACACUAUUUUUUUGUUUACUUUCUAUGAAAAAUCAAAAUAGUUUAGUAAUCAAAGGGUGCAAAAUUGUUAACAUCCAUGUAGUUUAAUGGUAUAUUUUAAAAAAAAAAGUAAUUAUUUUGAAAGUUUUAUUAAAAGUUAAUUCAUGUUUUUACCAAUCAUUAAAAUUGUAUUUUGAUUCAUAAAAUCAAUGAAUUUAAUUUAAGCUAACUUUUACGUGAUUUAAUUAAAAACUUGAAUUAGAUAAAAAAAACUUAAUUACAAAAUUAACUUAUUAAACCAAUAAUAUAAUUUACCCUAUUGACGGCUACUCAUAUCAAAGGAUUUGCGAACUAACUUCAUGAUUUUUUUUAAAGUUCGAAAUUCAGUGAUCAAGUUAAAAUUAACAUUUUUUUAAAAAAUGCUUCUUUAAUAAAAUUAAUUAAUAUAAAUUGAUGCAAUAAUUCAAUAACCCAUGAAUUCAAAGUGUCUUUAUGAGUUUGAUAGUGUUUGAUUUUCAAAAUAUUUUUUGUUUGAAAAUACAUCAAAAUAAUAUAUAUUUUUUUAAAUAAGUUUUUACAUCAAAAUAAUAAAAAACAUAUUAAAAAAAUAUUAAUUUAAAAUAAAUAAAUAAAAUUUAAUUUUUUAAAAAAAUACUUGUAAAAUAUCUAAGUAAUCAUUCAAAUUAUUUUAUUUUCUUAAAAGAAAAAAAAAGUCGGGUGCGAGAGAACCUUUGUUAUUAAUAUCACAUGCAAACUUCUUAAAACAUUAUUGUAAUCAUUAUUGACCAUUAUAUUAUUGUCUUCGUGAAAAUGACAUCUUCUGACCAUUAUUAGAAGAACAGGAGAGUGUUUUUUUUUUUUUUUUGUAACUCGGGGUAUUCGGGCCAGCUUGCGCACACCACAACUAAUCCCCGGGCUCAUUGAACAUCCUGCAAGCCCAGUGAGCAUGUAAGGCACCACGGGGGUAACAGGCGUAUACAAGUGGAGCUUGAACCCUGGUGUGGAGGAAGGGAACAAGUCCCUUCAACCAUGUAUAUAAAAAACCAUGUAUAUAUAUAUAUAUAUAUAUAAAAAAAAAAAAACCCUCGUGCAGGUCUUUGAUUUCACACACGAGAGUUACUGAACAACAACCUUGUUGGUUACUAUAUCUAUUGGUUGUAAGGAGGAGAUAAGGUUGAACAAGUGGCGACAAUCUAUUGGCUUUUCGGACUACCUUAUCUCCAUGUCACAGGUCCUUUCUCUUAAUUUUUUUCUAAAUUUGAAACUGUAAUUUGUAAUUGUAAUUCCCAGCAUAGCGCAUAUGCGAGGGUAAUCACAACAACUCAUGAGAAAAACAACACCCUAUUAAAUCAAAUUAAAAAAAAAACAAUUUGAAGCAUCGAAGGGAGAAAUAGAAAAAAAUGGAAGGACUGAAAUGAAAUUUGUUGGAUGCUAUCAAUAGCCUUGUUCUUUUAGCUUUCUGUAUAAUGUAAUGGGCAGGUCUUAUUACUUGAGUGUGUGAUGCAAGAGAUAGUCAUUGCAGAUUUUAGUUGCCUAAGUUUGAUCCUUUGUGGAGUUCCUUGCAAGUCUCUUUUUUUUUCUCCUUAUUCAUAAUUUUCAAAAAAAAAAAAAAAAAAAACAUUGACCGAUCAUAGCUUUAGAUUAAUUAUUUGUGUUAUUGGAAGCGAUGAGGAGCUAGUAUCAUUCGUGCAGGUGUCAAAGUGAUCAUCAUCAGCCUUCCAUUCCUUUCUCUGUUUGCUAGGUGAGCACUUGUGCAUAUUAUUCUUAAUUUUAUUUGUUUGUCAUUAUCUUUAUAUUAUGCUUUUUAUCUUAAUUAUUUCAUAAAAUUGCAUUUUUAUGGGAAUUGCUGCUUUAAACUCGUAAGUGUAAACUAUUUUGUUUCAAUGUAUUCGUUAGAUCGGUGGUAUGCUAUCUUUCACUAAUGAAAUUCUGUUUGUUGGUUUUGAGAAGGAAAAAAAAAGUAUUUCUAUCUUUGUUUUAUGGAAAAAGCACAUAGAUCUAUGAACUAUAUAUAUAUAUAUAAAAAAACAUUGACCGAUCAUAGCUUUAGAUUAAUUAAAUGUGUUAUUGGAAGCGAUGAGGAGCUAGUAUCAUUCGUGCAGGUGUCAAAGUGAUCAUCAUCAACCUUCCAUACAGAGACUGGUGGAAAAUGGCUAUCGAAAGUGUUGGUGGAUCCGUUGUAUCCAAGAUAGCAGAGCUCUUGGUGGAACCAGCAAUAAGGCAGUUCCGUUACAUGUUCUACUUCAACAAUUUUGUUCAAGAAUUCAAUGAACAAAAGAAGAAACUGACUUUGACACUAGAUCGUCUACAAAAUGAUGUCAAAGUUGCUGAAAGGAAUGCUGAAGAAAUUUACAAAGAUGUCAGUAAAUGGCUGGAAGAUGCAAACAACGAAAUUGAAGGUGUGAAUCCUUUGGAAAAUGAAAUAGGAAAAAAUGGCAGUUGCUUUACUUGGUGUCCAAAUUGGAUGCGACAAUUCAAGUUAAGCAAGGCACUGGCAAAGAAGACAGCGACUUUGAGAAAACUUGAAGAAAAUAGCAGAAAGUUUCCAAAAGUGUCCCACAAAGCACCUCUUCAAGAGAUAAAAUUUCUUCCAUCAAAGGGAUUCAUGCUCUCAAAAUCGUCAGAAGAAGCUUUCGAACAGAUUAUGAAAGCUCUCAAAGAUGACAAGGUCAAUAUGAUCAGACUGUACGGCAUGGGAGGGGUGGGUAAAACCACCCUGGUGAAAGAAGUAGCCAGGAGGGCCAAAGAGUUGCAGUUGUUUGAUGAAGUUUUGAUGGCUACGGUGUCCCAGAAUCCAAAUGUCACAGACAUCCAGGAUCAAAUGGCAGAUAGUUUAGAUCUGAAAUUUGUCAAGGAGAGAAAUUUGUUUUUUUCUUUUCCCCACUCUCUUACUCGAUUUUCGCAUUAAAAAUCAAAUUAGUCUAUAAAGUUUAUUGUACUUAUGAUUUCAUCCCUAUUCUCUUUAUUAUAAUUUUUUAAAUUUAGAAUACUUUAUGAAAUUAUGUGGUUUUUGCAAUUUCAUCCUUAUUCUCUUUGUUGCUUUUUUUUAUUAUUUAUUUAGAAUAGUCUACUAAAUUAAGAAUUGUUUUCAAUUUCAGAUGGUUUUUACAAUUUUUUUUUAAUUUCAUCAUUUUUUAGUUUUUUUUCUGUUAAAUCUAAUCCUUUUUUUUAUUAUUGUAUUUUUUUGACCUUGCAAGAUUUUUUUAGAUUGAUUUUUUUAUUAUGUCAUCCUCCAACAUUUAAUUAGCUGGGUCUUUAGCUUCUUAGUUGAGUCCGGGUCUAAAAUUUAACGGUUUAUUGGUUUAAGCGAUUGACCCUAGUUUCUUUUUUUUUUUUUUCCUUUUUUUUCCAUCCUCCAGCAUUUUGUUAUUUUUUAAUUCACUUUAUAUGGUAUUUUGUUUAGUCUUUUUUAAAAUAAUGCAGGUUGGCUUGGUUUUUUUUUUUUUUUUGUCUUUGUUGAAUUUAGUUUUUAUGAAGGAAUUUUAUUUUUCAAUUGAAUUAAAUUGAUUAAUUUCAUCUUCCAACAUUUAAUUGUUUAGGUGUUGAGCUCGUGUUUUGAGGUUGGGUCAAGAAUUUAAUGGAUUGCGGGUUUAAGAGUUUAACUCGAUUUUAUAGGGUUCACUCGGGUUUCUUUGGUGUUUUGUUUCUUUUUUUUAAUCUCUUUUCUUUUUUUCAUAUUUCAACUUAUAACAUUCUUUUUUUAUUCUCUUUCUACAAGAUUUAUCUUUUUGUUUAAAAUAGCAAGGUUGCCUUAAAGUUUUUUUCUUUCUAUCUUUGUUAAAUUUUGCUUCUUUAAAAGGAUUUUUUUAAUUAAAUUAAUUUUUUUAAUUUCAUCCUCUUGCAUUUAAUUUGAGGCAAUACAUGAGAGAAUUUUGUUUUUUUAAUUAAUUUUUUUGAAAAUUGGUAUUUUGUUUCUACUUUUUUUUUUCUAUAGAGUUAUCAUGAUAUUAUGUCUCAAGUCAUCGAUUCAAUAGAUUUACCAAGUUUGACUUAGGUUUACAUGUAAAAGUUAUCUUACAAUACUUUUAACGAAAUAUAUUUUUUUUAAAAAAAAACAGCAACUAAAAGUAUUUUUGUUAAACCUAUUUUUUCAAAUCGCAACCAUAAAAGCUAUCAUUAUUGUAUGUUUGGUUAAGUGGUGUAAAAUGCUUUUACAAAAAUAUUUUUCAAUUAAAAAUGUAUUAAAAUAUUUUUUUUCAAUUAAAAAAAAACACUUCAAAAUCAUUAAAAAAUACUUAAAAAUUAAAUUAACAAUAUUAAUUUAAUAUUUUUUAAAAUUAAAUACAUUUUCAAAAGUAAUUAAUUUAAAUAAAAAAACUUAAAUUAACAAUGUUUUCCUUUAUAUUAUACUAUAUACUAAAAAAUAUCAACCUUUCACAUGGAUUCACAUAGUGAAAGGCUAAAUGCUGAUUUUACCUUUUAGUGGGCAAAGUAGCAUGCCUUGAAUUUAGAGAUAUAAUGGUCUUUUUCAUGGGACACAUUGAUCAUUAUUUGAAAGGGUAGGGCUAAACGAUCUUUUUGUAUUUUCUUUGCACAAUGUGAUUAUUUAAUUACCCUUGGAGAGCAAAUAAAAUCGCUUGGGUCUAGGGACUUUUUAGUCUUUGACUUGAUUUUUCAACAAGUAUAUUACUUCAUUGUCAUUGGAAAUUUAAAACAAUUAUACAACUCUGAGGCUCUUUUAUCAUUUAGAUGUGGUUAUUUAGAAGUUAUUGGGUGUCAUGGGAGACAAUAAGAUAAUUUGGUAAAUAAGAAAAUUAAAUUAAAAAAAUAUAGAAUCAAGUGAACAAUGUUUGCCACCUUCGAACGGUGUGUGCGACGUCAUCUGAUACCCAAAAUGGUGAUUCCAGGGAGGCUUUUGAAGGAUCUCAAUGUCCCCCUACGAAUCAACGACACGUGUAGCACUAUAGCAAUUGGUGUGAUGCGUGUGGCCUUUUGUUUGUUUUUAUUUUCCCUUCUCUCCUACUCAAUUUUCAUGUUGGGGUUAAAAAAUCAAAUCAGUCCCUAAAGUUUAUUGUACUUAUGAUUUCAUCCUUAUUCUCUUUAUUAUAAUUUUUUAAAUUUAGAAUACUUUAUGAAAUUAUGUGGUUUUUAAUUUCAUCAUUGUUCUCUUUGUUGCCUUUUUUUAUUUAUUUAGAAUAGUCUACUAAAUUAAGAAUUGUUUUCAAUUUUAGAUGGUUUUCACAAUUUUGUUUAGACCUUGCAAGAUUUUUUUAGAUUGAUUUUUUUAUUAUGUCAUCCUCCAACAUUUAAUUAUCCAGGUUUUUAGCUUCUUAGUUGAGAUCGGGUCUAAACUUUAAUGGUUUGUUGGUUUAAGAGAUUGACCCUGGUUUCUUUGUUUUUUUUUUCCAUCCUCCAACAUUUUGUUAUUUUUUAAUUCAUUUUAUAUGGUAUUUUUUAGUCUUUUUGAAAAUAACAUAGGUUGCUUUGGUUUUUUUUUUUUAUUUUGUCUUUGUUGAAUUUAGUUUUUAUGAAGGAAUUUUAUUUUUAAAUUGAAUUAAAUUGAUUGAUUUCAUCUUCCAACAUUUAUUUUUUUAAGUGUUGAGCUCUUGCGUUGAGCCCGAGUCAAGAAUUUAAUGGAUUGCGAGUCUGAGAGUUUAACCCGAGUUUAUAGGAUUCACUCGGGCUUUUUUGGUGUUUUGUUUCUUUUUAAAGCUCUUUUUUUUCAUAUUUCAACCUCUAACAUUCUUUUUUACUCUUUUUCUAUAUGAUUUAUCUUUCUUUUUAAAAUAACAAGGGUUGCCUCAAAGUUUUUUAUUUUCGAUCUUCGUUAAAUUUUGCUUCUUUAAAAGGAAUUUUUUUUAAUUUAAUUUAAUUUUUUUUUAUUUCAUCCUCUUGCAUUUAAUUUGAGGCAAUACAUGAGAGAAUUUUGCUUUUUUAAUUAAGGUUUUUGAAAAUUAGUAUUUGUUUUUCUACUUUUUUUUUUCUAUAGAGUUAUUUUGAUAUUAUGUCUCAAGUCAUGGAUUCAAUAUAUUUACAAAGUUUGACUCAGGUUUUUUAUUUUUUUCAUUUCUUUUUAUUUUUUUUUAUCUUGAGUCAAUGAUCAAAAUCUUAAAUUUUUUAAAAAAAUUGCAUCGUCAAUAGUGUUUUUUUUUCCUUCUAAAUCUAUAUUUCUUUCUCUACUUUCAUACUUCAAUAUUUUUCUGUACAUUGAUUGGUUGGUUGGUUGAAUGGUACAGUCCUCAUUUUCAUUUACUGUUGGAAAUACACAAAAAAAAUCCCUUUCAAGUUUUAAGUUACAAAACGACGUGCAGCUCAAUCAAUGCCUUCAUUGCCUACCGCCUUCAAAAAAUCAACUCCUUAGUUAGUUUCGUCCUUGUCUCGCGUAGAACGACAUCCACUUUAAAUGACAGCCACAGGAGAUGUUUGACUUCAAGUUUUAAUUCAAGAAUUAAUAUGUGAACAAAUUACAAGAAUUAAUAUGUAAUAAGUUAAGUAGAUGGUGCUAAUAUAUCAAGAUGACUAGUAAAUAAAUAUCUAUAAAAGGUUUUGUUUGAUAAGUAAAAGGAUUUUUAAAUGUUUAAAUACAGAGAAAAUAUAAUAAUAUUUUAGAGAAAUAAAUUUUAAAAAUAUAUAUAUAUAAAAUAAAAACUCGGUGCAGGUCUUUGAUUGCACACACGAGAGUUACUGAUCAACAACCUUGAUGGUUACUAUCAAUUGGUUGAAAGGAUGAGAUAAGGUCGAACGAGUGGCGACAAUCUAUUGGCUUCUCGGAUUACCUUAUCUCCAUGUCACAGGUCCUUUCUCUUAAUUGUUUUCUAAUUUUGAAACUGUAAUUUGUAAUUGUAAUUUCCCAGCAUAGCGCAUAUGCGAGGGUAAUCACAACAACUCAAGAGAAAAACAACACCCUAUUAAAUCAAAUUAAAAAAAAAAACAAUUUGAAGCAUCGAAGGGUGAAAUAGAAAAAAAUAAAAGGACUGAAAUGAAAUAAAUCCUUGGUGGAUGCUAUCAAUAGCCUUUUUAGCUUUCUGUAUAAUGUAAUGGGCAGGUCUUAUUACUUGAGUGUGUGAUGCAAGAGAUAGUCAUUGCAGAUUUUAGUUGCCUAAGUUUGAUCCUUUGUGGAGUUCCUUGCAAGUCUCUUUUUUUUUUCUCCUUACUCAUAAUUAAAAAAAAAAAAAAACAUUUGCCGAUCAUAGCUUUAGAUUAAUUAUAUGUGUUAUUGGAAGCGAAGAGGAGCUAGUAUCAUUCGUGCAGGUGUCAAAGUGAUCUUCAUCAGCCUUCCAUUCCUUUCUCUCUUUGCUAGGUGAGUACUUGUACAUAUUAUUCUUUUAUUUAUUUGUCAUUAUCUUUAUAUUAUGCUUUUUAUCUUAAUUAUGUCAAAAAUUUGCAUUUGUGGGAAUUGCUGCUUUAAACUCAUAAGUGUAAACAAUUUUGUUUCAAUGUAUUCGUUAGAUCGAUGGUAUGCUAUCUUUCACUAAUGAAAUUCUUUUUAUUGGUUUUGAGAAGAAGAAAAAAGUAUUUCUAUCUUUGUUUUAUGGAAAAGCACAUAGAUCUAUGAACUAGAUAUAAAAAAAGAAAGGAUAGAUAUUCCCAUUACUUAAUAAUCGAGGAAAUGAGUGUUUAAAAUUAAGAUAAUAAAAUUGAAACCAAAUCAGCUUCAUUAGAUAAAGCUGUUGUGUAAAUAAGUGUGACUUUUACUCGUGACAUAGACAGAGAUAGUCAUUACAGAUCCUUUGUUGAGUUCGUUCCAUUAAUUAUGUCAUCAAAUUGCAUUUUUUUUAUGGGAAUUGCUACUCUAACUCGUUAAGUUAGAAUCCAUGUAAACUAUUUUGUUUUAAUACUUCUCCUCUUUUCAACAUAAAGUCGUUCUUUUAUAAAUAUAUUCAUUAGAUUGAUGAUAUGCUAUCUUUUCUUUUUAUUGGUUUUGAGAAAAAAAAAAGUAUUUCUAUCUUUUUUAUGGAAAAGCACAGAGAUCUAAGAACUAUUGUGUAAAUAAUUGUUAGGGUAAGUGUGAAUUUUAACACAUGGCAUGGAUAGCUAUUGAUGAGGGGACAAAGGGAUUACAAUGAUCUAUGAACUAUUGUGUAAAUAAUUGUUAUGUUAGGACAAGGAAUUAAAUGUUUAUCGUUCUACUUAUACCUUGCCUUGUUGCUCUUGAAGCUGGCUUCCAUACAGAGCUAAAGGCCUUCUCCUUUUGUUCCUCUCGCUAUAUUUUAUUAUUGAGCAGUCAGUACCAGUGCUUUCCGCAUAUAUUUUCACAAAUUAAGGUAAUAAAAUUACUAUUCUCAUUCUCUCAAUGCCUAUUUUACUUGUAAUGACUCACUCUCACGUUCUGUAUCCUUAUUUCUUUGAUUUUCAGACCGGUGGAAAAUGGAUAUCAUAAGUGCUGCUAUAUCCAAGAUAGCAGAUCUCUUGGUGGAACCAGUAGGAAGGCAGUUCCGUUACAUGUUCUGUUUCAACAAUUUUGUUCAAGAAUUCAAUGAACAAAAGAAGAACCUGGCUUUAACACUAGAUCGUCUACAAAAUGAUGUCAGAGAUGCUGAAAGGAAUGCUGAAGAAAUUUACAAAGAUGUCAGUAAAUGGCUGGAAGAUGCAAACAGCGAAAUUGAAGGUGUGAAUUCUUUGCAAAAUGAAAAAAAAAUGGCAAAUGCUUUACUUGGUGUCCAAAUUGGCGACAAUUCAAGUUAAGCAAGGCACUGGCAAAGAAGACGGAGACUUUGAGAAAACUUGAAGAAAAUAGCAGAAAGUUUCCAAAAGUGUCCCACAAAGCACCUCUUCAAGACAUAGAAUUUCUUCCAUCAAGGGAUUCACACCCUCAGAAUCGUCAAAAGAAGCUUUCGAACAGAUUAUGAAAGCUCUCAAAGAUGACAAGUCAAUAUGAUCGGACUGGUACGGCAUGGGAGGGGUGGGUAAAACCACCCUGGUGAAAGAAGUGGGCAGGAGAGCCAAAGAGUUGCAGCUGUUUGAUGAAGUUUUGAUGGCUACGGUGUCCCAGAAUCCAAAUGUCACAGACAUCCAGGAUCAAAUGGCAGAUUUUAGGUCUGAUUUGACGAAAAGAGUAAAAAGGGAGAGCAGUCGUUAUGGCAGAGACUGCAGGGAAAGAAGAUGCUUAUAAUCCUGGAUGAUGUUUGGAAAGAUAUUGACUUGAAAGAGAUAGGGAUCCCAUUUGGUGAUGCUCACAGGGGUUGUAAAAUUCUUCUAACAACACGUCUUGAAAACAUAUGCUCUUCUAUGGAUUGCCAGGAAAAAGUGUUUUUAAGAGUCCUAUCUGAAAAUGAAGCAUGGGCUUUAUUCAAAAUCAAUGCAGGUUUACGUGAUGAGGACUCUGACUUGAACAGAGUGGCAAAGGAGGUUGCGAGAGAAUGCCAAGGCUUGCCUAUAGCACUUGUGGCAGUGGGAAAGGCUCUAAAAGAUAAAUCUGAACAUGAGUGGGAAGUAGCAUCUAAGAGCUCAAAAAAUCUCAAUCUCGGCACAUGGAAACAUUUGAUGAACGAAGAAAUGCAUAUGCAUGUCUUAAGUUGAGCUAUGAUUAUUUGAAGCACGAGAAAACCAAGUUAUGUUUCUUGCUAUGCUGUUUAUUUCCAGAAGAUUACAACAUUCCAAUUGAGGACUUGACGAGAUACGCAGUUGGCUACGGGUUAUAUCAAGAUGUGGAGUCCAUUGAAGGUGCAAGGAAACGAGUUUAUGUGGAAAUCGAAAACCUCAAAGCUUGUUGUAUGCUGUUAGGAACUGAAACUGAAGAAUAUGUGAAAAUGCAUGACUUGGUUCGUGAUGUUGCUAUUCAGAUAGCAUCAUCAGAAAAAUACGGAUUCAUGGUAAAGGCUGGCUUUGGGUUGAAGGAGUGGCCAACGAGCAAUAAAAGCUUUGAAGGUUGUACAGUAAUCUCGUUAAUGGGCAAUAAACUAGCAGAACUUCCUGAAGGAUUGGUGUGUCCACAGCUCAAAGUUCUAUUAUUAGAACUGGAUCGUGGUUUGAAUGUUCCAGAGAGGUUUUUUGAAGGGAUGAAAGCAAUAGAAGUUUUGUCUCUAAAGGGAGGGUGUUUGUCAUUGCAAUCACUUCAAUUCUCAACGAACCUUCAAUCGUUGCUGUUGAUGAAGUGUAAUGCAAGGACCUCAUUUGGUUGAGAAAGCUGCAAAGACUUAAGAUUCUUGUUUUCAGGUGGUGCGACUCCGUUGAAGAAUUACCUGAUGAAAUUGGGGAGCUCAAGGAGUUAAGGUUGUUGGAUUUGACAGGUUGUCAAAAUCUAAGAAGGAUUCCUGUGAAUUUGAUAGGAAGGUUGAAGAAGUUAGAAGAACUGUUGAUCGGGGAUCGGAGCUUCAAGGGAUGGGAUGUUGUUGGAUGUGACAGCACAGAAGGAAUGAAUGCAAGCCUAACAGAACUAAGUUCGCUGUCUCAUUUAGCUGUAUUAUCAUUGUGGAUACCGAAGGUUGAAUGCAUUCCCAGCGAUUUUGUUUUUCCCAGCUUGCUCAAAUAUGAUAUAGUGUUAGGGUAUUCACAAACAGGUUUGCAUAGACAAGAAUACCCAACCUCGACAAGAUUAUAUUUGGGUGAAAUCUGGGCCGCAUUCUUAAAUGCAAAGACAUUUGAGCAAUUGUUUCCUACUGUGUCUCUAAUUCAUUUUAGAAACAUUGAGGGUUUAAGAAAUAUAGUAUUGUCCUCUGAUCAGAUGACCUCCCACGGCCAUGGGUCGCAAAAGGACUUCUUACAAAGAUUAGAACAUGUAGAAGUGAGAACAUGUAGGGAUAUUCGCACUCUGUUUCCAGCAAAAUGGUGGCAAGCUUUGAAAAAUCUAAGGAGUGUGGAAGCUUAUGGCUGCAAAUCAUUGGAAGACGUAUUUGAAUUGGAUGAGGAGAAAGAGCUGCUGUCAUCUUUAACAAGGUUACGGCUGUCCGCCUUAUAUGAGCUCAAAUGUAUAUGGAAGGGGCCCACCAGACAUGUCAGCCUUCACAGUCUUGCACAUCUGGAGUUGUCAUCUCUUUACAAACUGACAUUUAUCUUCACACCGUCCCUCGCUCAAAGUCUUAUUCAUCUGGAAACACUAAAGAUAGGUUAUUGCGUUGGAUUGAAGCGUCUUGUCAGAGAGAAGGAUGACGAAGGGGAAAUAAUUCCAGAGUCUCUUGGCUUCCCCAAAUUAAAAACUCUUUGUAUAGUUUCCUGUCAUGAUCUGGAAUAUGUCUUCCCUGUCUCCGUGUCUCCAAGUUUUCAGAACCUGGAAGAGAUGGAGAUUUGUGAAGCUAACAAUUUAAAGCAAGUAUUUUACAGUGGAGAAGGAGAUGACAUCAUCAUCAAGUCUAAAAUUAAAAAUGGCAUCAUCGAAUUCCCUCAGCUAAGAAAAUUGUCUCUUUCAAAGUGCAGCUUUUUUGGUCCAAAGGAUUUUGCUGCCCAAUUGCCUUCUUUGCAAGAAUUAACCAUUGAUGGCCAUGAAGAAUGGGGUAAUUUGUUGGCACAGCUUCGAGUACGUCCUUUAUAUUUCUCCAUUUUUUUUUCUUUUCUAAUUUAAAUCGUCAACUUCAAUACAUUGUGAUAAUUUUUUCUAUCCUUUAAAACAAUAGAGUCAAAAAGUAAAAAUUGAAACUUUCUUUUUAAAUACAAUAUUUUCUCAUUCAAAGAACUUCAAAAGCACCAAAUUUGUAUUGAAUUCAAAAAACAUAUUUUUUUAAAUAUUUUUUCAUUUUUUUUUACAAUUUUUUUCACUUUUUUUUUAUGAAAAUAAUAAUUUAAAUGAUCAACAAUCAAGCAUUUUUAUUAAAACAUUUUACUAAUAUGUAAAAUUCAAAUUAUUUUCUUUUAUAUUUUUAUUUUUUCAUGAUUGCUUUUAAUUUAACUAAUAUAAAAUAAUAGUUUGUAUUUAGAUUAUCAUAAAUAUAUAAAAAAAUAUGAUUUAAUAUUCCCAUGACUUGUUGCCCUAUUUAUUUAUAUUUUCUUGUUGAUAAGUAUUUCGGCAUUGGGGAUAAUUGGUUCAUCUAUUUAACAAAAUUAUAUAAUAGUUUCAAAGUGCACAAAAACUAAUAGGAAUUAUAUCUAACAAAUUAUAUCUAACAAAAUUACUUUGGUACCCUUACUUUCUUUUGAUGCAGGGGUUUACAAGUUUGGAAACAUUAAAGUUGUCCUCCCUUCUGGUGCCUGACUUGAGGUGUAUAUGGAAGGGUCUUGUGCCAUGUAAUUUGACUACUUUGAAGGUGAACGAGUGUAAGAGACUGACACAUGUAUUCACCGACAGCAUGAUUGCUAGUCUACUUCAAUUGGAAUUUCUAGAGAUAUCAAACUGUGAGGAAUUGGAGCAAAUCAUUGCUAAGGAAAAUGAUAAUGAAAAGGAUCAGAUAUUUUCAGGAAGUGAUCUCCAAUCUGCAUGCUUUCCUAAUUUGUGUCGACUUGAGAUCAGAGGAUGCAACAAGUUGAAGGUGCAUGGAUGCCCAAAGCUGACCAUAGAAUCUGCUACUACAUCAAAUGACUCAAUGAGUGCUCAAUCAAAGGUGCUCCUGAUUUGACAUGAUUUCUUGCCUCUCGUUUAGUUUUAAAAGUGCACAAUAAUUACUAGGAAUUACAUCUAACAAAUCGGUACCCUUGUUUUCUUUUGAUGUAGGCGUUUAUGAAUUUGAAAGAAAUAUCUAUUGGAAACUUGGAAGGAGUACAAGACUUAAUGCAGGUUGGAAGUUUGGUAACUAAUAUAAGUGGUCGGCAUGAACUUUCAUUGGUGAGUUUGGAAACAUUACACUUGAACUUAUUGCCUGACUUGAGGUGUAUAUGGAAGGGUCUCCAACCGAGCAAUUUGACUACUUUGAAGGUGAACGAGUGUAAGAGACUGACACAUGUAUUCACAGACAGCAUGAUUGCUAGUCUUGUUCAACUGAAAGUUCUAGAGAUAUCAAAUUGUGAUGAAUUGGAGCAAAUCAUUGCUAAGGAUAAUGAUGAUGAAAAUGAUCAAAUAUUGUCAAGAAGUGAUCUCCAAUCUUCAAGCUUCCCUAAUUUAUGUAUACUCAAGAUUAGAGGAUGCAACAAGUUGAAGAGUCUCUUCCCAGUAGCAAUGGCUUCUGGUCUCAAAAAGCUCCAAGAACUUGAAGUAAGAGAAUCCUCUCAAUUAUUGGGAGUAUUUGGGCAGGAUGAUCAUGCUUCACCCGUCAAUGUUGAGAAGGAGAUGGUGCUCCCUGAUCUGAAGUGGCUGACUCUAGAAAAAUUACCAAGAAUUAUCCGCUUCAGUCAUGGAUGUUGUGAUUUCAUAUUCCCUUGUUUGUUGAGGUUAGAGGUGCAACGAUGUUGGAGGCUGUCCACAAAAUUUGCUACAACAUCAAAUGGUUUAAUGAGUACUCAAUCAGAGGUGCUGCAUUAAGUGUUUUUGUUUCUUAUUUCCCUCAGUAAUAAGACUUACAAGUUAGAAUGUGUAUGCCAUACUUGAAUUGGUUUUGCAGGUAUCUCAAGUAGCUGAGGGUUCCAGCACUGGUUGCUCCGUGCCAACCAUCACUAAUAGAUUGUGGACCCGAAGAAAUGGGUGAGAAGAGAAAGAGGAAGAGGAAGAGGAAGAAGAUGGUGGUCAUAAUGAUUGAGUCAGAUGAUUAGUUUGGCAUUGGAAUAUGAAAAACAUGCUAUCAUUUUUUUAAAUGGUUGGAUUAAAUCAACAAAUAUGAAAUGCCUAUUUCAUGAUCUUUGUUCUUGAUGUUUGCAAUAGGUUGGUUGGUUACCUAUUUCAUGAUCAACUCGACAUUGGUGGGAAGUAAUUCCAGCUGUUUCAUUAGCUACAAUAAUUUGUCUUAUUUCAUGUGUUUGUUGUGUGAACUUCCAGAAAUGUUGUGUGUUUAGUAAUUUAUUGUGCCAACCUUCAAAAAAGAGCUUUUGUUUGUUUGCCCAUUUGUGUUUCUUUUCAAGUGUAUGAACCUUAAAAAACAAGAGAUUAAUAUUUACUCAUUUGUGUGCUUAUUGUUUAA